UAUCCGAACCAAAUUCCCUCCUUCCUUCGUCUCUUCCCUCGUUUUCUGCUCUCUUUCUCUCUCUUCCCGCUUUUUCAAUCCUCCUCUCUUCUCUCUCUCUCUCUCUAUACACUUCCCGAAUCAGAUCUCACUCUUUGAAUCUUCCCCAAUUCCAUCGAAUCCAUUCCACUCCACAAUUUCAGAGAUUCAUCAAAUCCAAUCUCUCUCUUUUUCUCAAACCCCUAGAACUCCAAAAAGGGGCUCGAUUGUUUUCUUCGUCGUUUUAGUGGAAAAGUUGUGAUUUUUUCGCGGUAUCGAUUCACAUGUCGAGUUCGCGAGCUUCGAAUCAGUCGGCCGAGCAGAUCAUGCAACAUCAGCAGCCUCUCAAGCGGCAGCUUCCGUUCACGGCCAUGAAACCGCCGUUUGUGGCGUCGCCGGGGGACUACCACCGCUUCUCCUCGUCGGAGGCAGACCGUCGGCCUCACGAGUCCGAAGCUAUUGUCGUUAAAUCUCCUCCAAUAAAACGGAAGAGUGAAGUAGCAGACUGUGAAGCUGAGUCUAGCGAGCAGAAUCCCAGUCAUGGCUGUGCUGAAGCUGUUAACAGUCACCUUCAGACUCCGGUAUCUGGAAAAGCGGGAAAGGCACAGAAAGUGCCAAGGACUGGAAAGCUCAAUAAAUCUGGCCCUCAAACUCCAGCAGCAAAUGUUGGUUCUCCUUCAGGCAAUAAUCUCACUCCAGUUGGCCCUUGUCGUUAUGAUAGCUCCUUAGGUCUCCUGACAAAGAAGUUCAUUAAUCUGAUCAAACAUGCAGAAGAUGGUAUUCUUGAUCUAAAUAAAGCUGCUGACACAUUAGAGGUGCAAAAGAGGCGGAUAUAUGACAUAACAAAUGUCCUAGAGGGAAUUGGCCUGAUAGAAAAGAAGCUCAAGAAUAGAAUUCAGUGGAAGGGACUUGAUGCCUCAAGGCCAGGGGAUGUUGAUGAGAAUGUUGCUAGCAUACAGGCAGAAGUUGAAAACCUUUCUGUUGAAGAGCGUAGAUUGGAUGAACAAAUAAGAGACAUGCAGGAAAGGUUGAGGGACCUGAGUGAAAAUGAAAACAAUCAGAAGUGGCUUUUUGUCACCGAAGAAGACAUCAAGAACUUACCCUGUUUCCAGAAUGAAACCCUGAUAGCAAUUAAAGCUCCACAUGGCACCACCCUAGAAGUCCCAGAUCCCGAUGAGGCUGUUGACUAUUCUCAAAGGAGAUACAGAGUUGUCCUUAGGAGCACCAUGGGCCCUAUAGACGUCUACCUUGUCAGUCAAUUUGAGGAGAAGUUUGAGGAGAUCCAUGGUGUUGAGGCGGCCCAGAAUGUUCCCUCAACAUCAGGGAUCAAUGAGAACUCAGCUGUGGCAGUGGUAACGGAGGAGAACAAAGGAAGUGAGAUGGAAAUGCAGGGACAAGAAGCUAAUAGGAUCUGCUCAGAUCCAAAUGCCACACCGGAUUUUGUGAGUGGAAUCAUGAAGAUUGUACCGGAUGUUGAUAGUGAUGUAGAUUAUUGGUUUUUAUCAGAACCUGAUGUUCCCAUCGCAAACAUUUGGGGUACAGAGUCUGCGGUUGAAUGGGAUGAGUUGGGCAUCCUUCAUGAUGACCAUGCAGUCGGUAAUGCCAGCACACAACUCCCCCAAACUCCACCAACCAGCGCAACACAAGUGCCUUCAGCCGCUAAAUCCACGGGAAGCUGAGAGAAAUUUGUUGACACAACUUGAUCAAUGUUUUGUGGACUCGGCAUCAAUGAACUAUACUAUACAUCAGCUCUUUGGUAAUACCCAUAUUUUGGUCCCUGGACGUGACUGAAGGGUCGCUGGGGUUAGCCUUCAUUCCUAAAAGAAGUCGAUAAUAUGAAGCACGAGAAUGGGAGGGAAGCAGCCGGUUCAUUGUACAGUAGAUAUGUACAUGAUCCUUGUGGUGGCACUGGAGUGGGCUUUAUCUUCCAUUACAGCAAUUCUUCUCCAUGGGAGUACUGAAGUGUGCAUCUGCUAUGACGGUCAGUACACACGAAUCAAUCUAUUUUUAGUUUAGAUGUCGAAAAUUAUUCCUUCCAUAUGAACAAUGCAUGAGUUGGUUAUAAAAUUGAGUGACAUUUUUGAGAUGUGUAACAUGAAUGAAAAGAAUAGAAUAUCAGAUGUGAUAUCUUAGAUCCAACUUUUGUUCGUCAGAAAUGCGUUGAACCAAGUUUAUUUUGUAAUGCGAUUCUCCCAUUUAGUUUAAGAAUAAAUGGGAUUAGGGUUUGGUAUGAAAAACUGCACUGCGAUUAGAUAUCUAAUUUGCAUGUAUUAUAUCUUGCUGUGGAA